UACGGGGGGGGCAAGCGUUGUUCGGAAUUACUGGGCGUAAAGGGCCAGUAGGCGGCCAACUAAGUCCGACGUGAAAUCCCAAGGCUUAACCUUGGAACUGCGUCGGAUACUGGAUGGCUUGAAUUCGGGAGAGGGAUGCAGAAUUCCAGGUGUAGCGGUGAAAUGCGUAGAUAUCUGGAGGAAUACCGGUGGCGAAGGCGGCAUCCUGGACCGACAUUGACGCUGAGGCACGAAAGCUGGGGGAGCGAACAGG
rnacentral:rRNA from 1 species